UGAGGGUCUAGGCUGCAGGUGCUCUUACCUGGCGUUCCGUGGCGCUGCGCUGGUGGGCUAUUUAAGCGCUCCCUUCUCAGUCGUUCCCCCUUUUGGCUCACACGCUCUUCCGGGCCUCUCCUUGUGGCCGCUCUGUCCUCCAGCUCAGGUAACGUUCACUUGGUAAAUUCCAUGCCCGUUACAUCAAAUUUCCUAUCACGUUUCCUUUUAGUGUCGCUGCUUGGCCGCUGCUUGGCCGGUGCUCUCACCACAUCUGUCCCUCGCGUCUCCGAAUCACGGAGCACCUAGGGCGCGCUUUCGUCUCCCUGAUAAGCUCCACGGGUGAGCCGAGCGAGUCCCUCCCCAUUGCGCUUGGCGGUGCGCCGCCGUGUCUCUUAAACCGCGGCGGCAGCGUGUGCCGGUCCACGUUGUCUGGACCACUUCUGGACGGCGUUAUCCUGUGUAGUCGCCUUUGAUUCAGCCUGGGGAUUACGCACUGUCACCUUCAACCACGGUGUCAGCGGGGGCCUGCAGCGGCGUGAGGACACCACCUCUGCUGUUUUGUUUUUUUGUUUUAUUUG